rnacentral:rRNA from 1 species
UACUAGAGUAGCACUCGCAUAUCAAUAAGCGGAGGAAAAGAAACUAACAAGGAUUCCCCUAGUAACGGCGAGUGAAGCGGGAAGAGCUCAAAUUUGAAAUCUUAAAGGGUUUCCCUUUACGAAUAAUUGUAGUUUAAAGAAGUGUUUUCUGUUGAGGUUUUGGUAAAAGUUCUUUGGAAUAGGACAUCAUAGAGGGUGAGAAUCCCGUAUUUGACCCUUACUUUCAACUUUGUGAUACACUUUCAAAGAGUCGGAUUGUUUGGGAAUGCAGUCCAAAAUGGGUGGUAAAUUUCAUCUAAAGCUAAAUAUUGGCGAGAGACCGAUAGCGAACAAGUACCGUGAGGGAAAGAUGAAAAGAACUUUGAAAAGAGAGUUAAACAGUACGUGAAAUUGUCAAAAGGGAAGCGUUUGACACCAGUGUUGUUUUUCUGAAAAUCAAUUAAAGAACUGUUUAUGCUAAGCUGUUUAGACUUUAUCAGCUAAUCUGUUUAGUUUUGAGCUUUUCUUUAAUGCACUUUUCAGUUAACAAGUCAACAUCAAUUUCUUUUGCUGUAAAAAGGCUUGAGGAAGGUGGCUUGAGAUUCGUCUUAAGUGCUUAUAGCCUCUUGCCUAUGCAGUCGGAGAGAUUGAGGUCUGCAGCGUAGAUCCUUCGGGGCUAAAUGCAUUUGUGCUAAGUUAUAGCAUUUUAUAGACAACUUGUUGACUAUGAUUUGUCUUGUAGCUUACUCGCUUAUGUUAUUUUACCUACGCUUAGGAUGUUGAGCGCAUGUCUCUCUCU